GACGAACCGUGCGAACGUUGUUCGGAAUCACUGGGCGUAAAGGGCGCGUAGGCGGUUCGUUAAGUCGGGAGUGAAAGCGCUGGGCCUAACCCAGCAACGGCUCUCGAGACUGGCGAGCUAGAGGUUCCUAGGGGAUUGUGGAAUUCCAGGUGUAGCGGUGAAAUGCGUAGAUAUCUGGGAGAACACCCGUGGCGAAGGCGGCAAUCUGGGGGACACCUGACGCUGAGGCGCGAAAGCUAGGGGAGCGAACGGG
rnacentral:rRNA from 1 species